UGUGGGAUCUUCCCGGACCAGGGCUCAAACCCGUGUCCCCUGCAUUGGUAGGCGGAUUCUUACCCACUGCGCCACAUCUUAAAUGUAGUGCCAUUUGUGAAGUUUCCUAAUUGCUUUCUUCCCACUUACCCUCUCAUUCUCUGGCUUGUUUUCUUCUUACUAGCUGUAUAUUAAUGAAAUUUAUUGGGAGAGUCUAUAUGUUCAGUAACUAAAAACAGUUAUUGUUUAUUGAAACUUACUAUACGCUCAGCACUCUCUUAAACUCUUAACCCUCAAACAGUUCUGUGCUACUGUUCACCUUAUUUGAGCCAGAGCAUCUAAAUGUUCUGUGAAACAAGUCCAGCAAUUAUUGGUUGUUCUACUUUAAAAGGAAUUUCUUCCCCUCACGCUCCCUCACUUUUAUCCUCUGGCUGACAGCACUGGAAGAUUAAGAAAGCAAAUGCAACUUGCUUCUUACUUUUGGUGUUGCAGAAAUUUUUACUCCUUUGAAAUAUGAAGUGGACAGUAGAGGGGACGUCCAUGCGUAUUUUUACCUGUGACAUUGCGUAGGUCAUCUCAGCUGUGAGCAGAUUGAAAUUGCUAGUUUUUAAACUGUUCAGCAACGAUGUAAUUUGUAUAAGUUUAGGCAAAAAGCUGAUUGUCAUAUAAACGUUUUCUAUUGCUCUGCUGAUAGUGAACACUCAACAUGAUUUGGAUUUUUUAGUAUUUAGUUCAUUCAUUCAUUCAGCAAACGCCAGGUAAAAUUAUUCCCACAUUCUAAGGGUAGAUCAAGAAGCCACAGCUUUUACUCCUCAAGGAUUCCAAAGUGGGGAGAUAAACACAUAAACAGAUAAUUUUACUCUAGUGAGAGAAGUUCUGUAAUAGAAGGAUGAGCUAUAUGCCAUGGGAAUACAGAGCAGAAAGUAAGUCCUCUUAGGAGAGCAAAAGAAAGCUUACUGGAGGAGGUGACAUUUGAUGGGUCUGGAAGUUUGAAGAGCUGAUAAGCAGGGUAAGGCAUUCUAGGGGAUAGACUGCACAGAGGCAUAGUGAAGUGCAAGUGCAUGGAAUAUUUGAGGACUAGCAAACAUUUGGGUGUGACUGGUAUAUACAUCAUGUGGGCAGCAGGGAGAAACAUUCUGAGACAAGAUUGGGGAGAAAAGAAGGUAAGCUCUUCAAGGGUCCUGAGAGUCGUGUGUACCUCCAUGAGCAGAGGAUCUUAAACUUUACACUGGAGGUAAUUGGUGGAGGGAGUUGGGCUUUUACCUAGUUUCCUUGCAUGAAUCUCUUAUCUUUUUCAGGGAGGCUAUGCUAGGCUCAGUACUCAAAAGGCCUGGAAUUUCCAAGUUGUACUUCUUGGGGGACUUUUCAUCUGUAAGAAACUAGAUUGCAGCUUCACAGUCUUCAGCUUUUAUUAGUAGAGUGUCAUCCAUCAUUGUAAUCAGUAGACGUAUCGACUUUCAUUGUAAUGAUAAUUUAUUAGAAAUUGUUUCCUGGAGACAGUAACAGGGAACAUUUGGUCAAUCUGGAAAGUAGCUUUGUUGCCUUGGUAACUGAAAGAAUGCAGAGAAACCAGUUGUGGAGCUUAUCAAAACCAAGGCCCUGAACAGGUUGAGUACUAGCUCAAGGCACAAGGCAAAACCAGAAACAUCUGCCAGUGCAUCUGCUGAGAUCAGAGACCUGCAAGCUGUGCCAGAGCCCUUGGAAGCUUGACAAGUUGUUAUACAGUCUGAUAAAAGAGAGGUCGCCUUCUGACCAGACACAUGGGAGUCCAUGCACUUUCCUCAGACUCAGACGGAAUGGAACUUAAAAACCUUCAGCCCAAAGGACAUUUGAAAUCAGCACCUGUCUACAUGAGUUUAACGAUGGGAGAGAUCAGGUCAAAUGAUAGAAGUCCGUGAAAGGAAUCCGUCCAUUCCUCCUUGAGCAGAACUUUUUUGAGAGCCUACUUAAGCACUGUAUCAAGCACUGUGCUGGGCACCUGCAUAGCAGAGGUGGACAGGUCUUAUUCCUGCCUUCUAGAAGCUUCCAGGAAAGGCACAUACAGAGAAGAUUAUGGUGUAGUUUCCAAAUCCUAAGAAGAAGUAGAACAAGUAUAGUUCUGUGUAAACAUUAAGGAUUCAGUUUAGGAGUUAGGGGUCUAGGAGACUUUACAGAGGAGGUGACAUUUCUGUGAGUUCUGAAUAAGUAGAAGCAGAACCCAGAGGCAAGGAAUUCUAGUGGCAACUGAGUCUAGAAUUUAAGUCUUCAGGUUCUUAAGUACAUUUCUUUUUACCUGGGCACACUCAACUUUCUAAGACUUCAUGUAAGUUCCUCAUCUGCCAACUUGAUAAAAUAUCACAGUGAUGGGGGCGGGGUGGGGGGGUUGAGUUCCUUGAUGCAACUCUCUCCCGUGGGUGAAUGUGCAUUCCUGAGUGAGAUUGUGUUUGUAAUUCUGAAUUGGACUAGGGCACUGACAGGGUCAUCCUCAGAUUUUACUAAUUAUUCUGUACUAGAUUUUUCUCAUUGUUUGUCAUCCAGGUAGCAGUCACCUCAUUGGGGAGAAAUAAACACAUUAAUUUUU